rnacentral:rRNA from 1 species
GGAAUCUUCCACAAUGGACGAAAGUCUGAUGGAGCAACGCCGCGUGAGUGAAGAAGGGUUUCGGCUCGUAAAACUCUGUUGUUAAAGAAGAACAUAUCUGAGAGUAACUGUUCAGGUAUUGACGGUAUUUAACCAGAAAGCCGCGGCUAACUACGUGCCAG